UACGGGGGGGGCAAGCGUUGUUCGGAAUUACUGGGCGUAAAGGGCUCGUAGGUGGCCAACUAAGUCAGACGUGAAAUCCCUCGGCUUAACCGGGGAACUGCGUCUGAUACUGGAUGGCUUGAGUGUGGGAGAGGGAUGCGGAAUUCCAGGUGUAGCGGUGAAAUGCGUAGAUAUCUGGAGGAAUACCGGUGGCGAAGGCGGCAUCCUGGACCGGCAUUGACGCUGAGGGAGCGAAAGCCAGGGGAGCAAACGGG
rnacentral:rRNA from 1 species